rnacentral:lncRNA from 12 species
CAGAAAUUAGUCACCUUGUUUUGUUCUUAGUAAUGGAAAUUUCUCAGAAACCAAAAUAAAGGGUGUCCUAUAAGAACCUGAAGAGCACAAAAUUAGCUUGAACUCACAUCCUAACUUUUAAACCCAGAGCAUGAAUGCAGGUGUCUGCAGCUGAGCAUGGUUUUUUUUUCUCAGCUCAUCUGAGGUAUGAGUCACUUCCAUCAAAAGAGGAGGAUGCCUUGAUCUGUGUGCGAGCGAGCUUUGGAACAGCAGCUGUUGGAGCAAACACAAACAUCCAUGCCAAGGAUUGUUGACAGAGAAAAUUCCAGUGGAAGGAUGGAGGAAGGAUUAGUAAAUACCCCAAGGUGAUGCUGUUUGCCAUUUCCAGCUCGUGUGCUUUGAAGAGCUCUAACAAAGGGAAUAAAAUGCGGCAAAAACAAGGACUUUGCUAUGCCCCAGCUCCAUGAUUUGGGGAAAAACUAGGUGUGGACACCUUGGAGGCUGCAAACACACCUGAGGGUCACAUCCCACCACCUCAGUCAUCACUGCUGGGGACGUGGUGGCUUGUGGCUGUGUGAGGAGGAAGAGCGCUCAAUGUGCCAGAAUUAACCAGCACUGCGACGAGGAUGAAAGAUAGCCCUGAUUAACACACCAUUAAACGAAUGUUUAACAUCAUCACUGAAGACUGAGCCUGAUUAAUAGGUCAAGAAGGGCUAAUUACACCUUGUUGUGGGGAAGGGUGUGCGUGUGUGUGUGGCACCAGGAAUUGCCAGUCCCUUAAAUUAGUCCAGUAAUGUGAAGUUUGUCAGACUCUGUGAACAGGACCCAAGUAAAUGUCACUGAUGGGAUCAUCUGCAGGGAGCAGGUGGAUGUGCAAGGAGCACAUCAGCUGCCGUGUCAGGGCCUCCAGCUCCUGAGCUUCUCCCUCUGGGACAGGAGAAUCCCAGAAAAACUACUCACAGGCUCCGGUUUUCUUUGGAAAUUCCUCAGAGACACAUUGCCUCACCACUGCCCAUAAAAGUGCUUUUCAGCUGUGGUGGAAAGCAGCGUUUCUG